AUUGCAAGGUGCUGUUUACAGCCUCUAUUACACCACCAUCACAUUCUAUGGGGAUUACGCAGCUCUUAUGUAAGUUGGUUUGCAAGCCUGAAGCCACACCAAAGACAUACAACAGAUUCUUAGUGAGCUGCAGAUCAUCUUCUUCCGGCCGAAUAAAGAGUGCUACAUCAUCAGCAUAUAAAGACAUGCGCUGUCCAGUGGAGUGGAGGGGCUGUAAUAGGCCCUCAGUUUCAGCUUUCAAGAAGAGACUGUUUAGGACAUCCAUAACCAAGAUAAAGAGCAUAGGGGAUAAAG
rnacentral:lncRNA from 1 species